rnacentral:lncRNA from 13 species
GGGAUUUAGUUCUCCCUUCAGUCAUCCUUCCUGGAGGGGAGAUCUGGCCCCUGUGGCUUUCAUGGUGACUGCCUCCUGCAGCCUAACCAUUAGGGGCACAUAGGAGAGGGUGGCUAUUUUGUGGGGAGACCACUGUUCAAAAGCCCCCGCUAUACCCUUUGUGUCUCUGCUGUGUUGCCUGCCAGCAGCAAUGUCUGAUGCCUCCAUUUGGCAGCCACAGGCUGUGAGGUCAUCUUUUCACCACUUGCUAUUUCCUGCAGCAUUCAAACUCUCUGGCAGUGACUCAGUGUUUACAAUCACAUUAACCUGUGAGGAACGCCGUGGCUGUGUCGAAGAACAAGGCCCUUGCUGGCACCAAGCAAAGCUGCAUUCAGCUUUCAGUGAGUGAGCCAGGUGCGGAACGCCGAGGAACGCGUCCACCUCGUGCCGCAGAUCUGGGAAGCAGUACCAGGGACAUCUAUUUUGUUCGGAGGCAGCAGGGCUAAUACAUCAAUCCUGACUGACCUCCCUUGCUCUUCUCAGAUCCCAGCCCCCUACCUGCUGUUCUGUGAAUUCCGUUCAACCCUAAUUAACCAGAACAUGAAGGCUGUGUCCUCAGGAACCAGGCAGUGAGGGCAGUAAUCUGACAUGGAACAUGAGGCCCAGCCUUCUAGGCUGGUAGCACAGAGUGAUGACUGGAACUCAGACAUCCUGCCUGCAAUCAACCAGGUUUAGAGCAGCAAGAAGGCCACGCAGAAUGAAGAGCUAGCAGACUGGGGUCGGGGGGAGUUGCUCACACACACUUAUCGGGGUUUUCUGCCUUAGAAAGAAAAGCAAAGACCUUUGGGAAUGAAAAAGUAACCAACAGGAGGAAAGCUUGCCCGUAGCUGGUGAGCAGGCCUGGGGGUGUGGCCUAAUGGAAGCUAUUGAGCAAAGGGUUAAUAAUUUUCUGGAGAUAAGAUUUAGGAGAAUUUUAAACAGAAAACAUUGAC